UACGUAGGGUGCGAGCGUUAAUCGGAAUUACUGGGCGUAAAGCGUGCGCAGGCGGUUUUGUAAGCCAGAUGUGAAAUCCCCGGGCUUAACCUGGGAAUGGCAUUUGGGACUGCAAGGCUUGAGUUUGGCAGAGGAGACUGGAAUUCCUGGUGUAGCAGUGAAAUGCGUAGAUAUCAGGAGGAAUACCGACGGCGAAGGCAGGUCUCUGGGCUAGAACUGACGCUCAUGCACGAAAGCGUGGGGAGCAAACAGG
rnacentral:rRNA from 1 species